AAGAGUAUCAGGGCCUUCGGGUUCCCAAUCUCCAACCCUCUGUUGUUAUAACUAUCUCGUUGCUUUGGCGGGACCGUGAAGGUCUCAACCCGAGCGCGCCGGUCUUCGGACGGGCGAGCGCCCGCCAGAGUCCAACCAAACUCUUGUUUUAAACCAGUCGUCUGAGUAUAAAAUUUUAAUUAAAUUA
rnacentral:misc_RNA from 1 species